GACGAACGCUGGCGGCGUGCCUAAUACAUGCCAGUAGAACGCUGAAGGAGGAGCUUGCUCUUCUGGAUGAGUUGCGAACGGGUGAGUAACGCGUAGGUAACCUGCCUGGUAGCGGGGGAUAACUAUUGGAAACGAUAGCUAAUACCGCAUAAGAGUAGAUGUUGCAUGACAUUUGCUUAAAAGGUGCAAUUGCAUCACUACCAGAUGGACCUGCGUUGUAUUAGCUAGUUGGUGGGGUAACGGCUCACCAAGGCGACGAUACAUAGCCGACCUGAGAGGGUGAUCGGCCACACUGGGACUGAGACACGGCCCAGACUCCUACGGGAGGCAGCAGUAGGGAAUCUUCGGCAAUGGACGGAAGUCUGACCGAGCAACGCCGCGUGAGUGAAGAAGGUUGUCGGAUCGUAAAGCUCUGUUGUAAGAGAAGAACGAGUGUGAGAGUGGAAAGUUCACACUGUGACGGUAUCUUACCAGAAAGGGACGGCUAACUACGUG
rnacentral:rRNA from 1 species